rnacentral:rRNA from 1 species
AUACGUAGGGUGCAAGCGUUAAUCGGAAUUACUGGGCGUAAAGCGUGCGCAGGCGGUUUUGUAAGACAGUGGUGAAAUCCCCGGGCUCAACCUGGGAACUGCCAUUGUGACUGCAAGGCUGGAGUGCGGCAGAGGGGGGUGGAAUUCCGGGUGUAGCAGGGAAAUGCGUAGAUAUGCGGAGGAACACCGAUGGCGAAGGCAAUCCCCUGGGCCUGCACUGACGCUCAUGCACGAAAGCGUGGGGAGCAAACAGGAUUAGAUACCCUGGUAGUCCACGCCCUAAACGAUGUCAACUGGUUGUUGGGGAUUUAUUUUCUCAGUAACGAAGCUAACGCGUGAAGUUGACCGCCUGGGGAGUACGGCCGCAAGGUUAAAACUCAAAUGAAUUGGCGGGG